rnacentral:rRNA from 1 species
UACAGAGGGGGCAAGCGUUGUUCGGAAUUACUGGGCGUAAAGGGCGCGUAGGCGGCCUUCUAAGUCAGACGUGAAAUCCCCCGGCUUAACCUGGGAACUGCGUCUGAUACUGGGAGACUUGAGUAUGGGAGAGGGAUGUAGAAUUCCAGGUGUAGCGGUGAAAUGCGUAGAUAUCUGGAGGAAUACCGGUGGCGAAGGCGGCAUCCUGGACCAUAACUGACGCUGAGGCGCGAAAGCGUGGGGAGCAAACAGG